ACGCUCGACACCUACGAGGCAGCAGUGGGGAAUAUUGCACAAUGGGGGAAACCCUGAUGCAGCGACGCCGCGUGGAGGAAGAAGGUCUUCGGAUUGUAAACUCCUGUUGUUGGGGAAAAAGAGGAUGGUACCCAACAAGGAAGUGACGGCUAACUACGUGCCAACAGCCGCGGUAAUCUGAGCGGGCUGGCAAGGC
rnacentral:rRNA from 1 species